rnacentral:rRNA from 1 species
AACUAACGCUGGCGGCGUGCCUAACACAUGCAAGUCGUACGAGAAAGCCGGCUUCGGCUGGUGAGUAAAGUGGCGCACGGGUGAGUAACGCGUGGAUAAUCUGCCCUUAAGUGUGGAAUAACGUACCGAAAGGUGCGCUAAUACCGCAUAAUGCCUGGCAACACAAGUUGUCCGGCCAAAGAAGGCCUCUGUUUACAAGCUUUCGCUUCAGGAUGAGUCCGCGUACCAUUAGCUUGUUGGUGGGUAAUGGCCUACCAAGGCUGCGAUGGUUAGCUGGUCUGAGAGGAUGAUCAGCCACACUGGAACUGAGACACGGUCCAGACUCCUACGGGAGCAGCAGUGAGGAAUAUUGCGCAAUGGGGGCAACCCUGACGCAGCAACGCCGCGUGAGUGAGGAAGGUUUUCGGACUGUAAAGCUCUGUCGAGCGGGAAGAAGUGUACCAUGGCUAAUAUCCAUGAUAUUGACGUACG